ACGGCCGCAAGGCUAAAACUCAAAGGAAUUGACGGGGGCCCGCACAAGCGGCGGAGCAUGCGGAUUAAUUCGAUGCAACGCGAAGAACCUUACCAAGGCUUGACAUGAACCGGAAAGACCUGGAAACAGGUGCCCCGCUUGCGGUCGGUUUACAGGUGGUGCAUGGUUGUCGUCAGCUCGUGUCGUGAGAUGUUGGGUUAAGUCCCGCAACGAGCGCAACCCUCGUUCUAUGUUGCCAGCACGUGAUGGUGGGGACUCAUAGGAGACUGCCGGGGUCAACUCGGAGGAAGGUGGGGACGACGUCAAAUCAUCAUGCCCCUUAUGUCUUGGGCUUCACGCAUGCUACAAUGGCCGGUACAAAGGGUUGCGAUACUGUGAGGUGGAGCUAAUCCCAAAAAGCCGGUCUCAGUUCGGAUUGGGGUCUGCAACUCGACCCCAUGAAGUCGGAGUCGCUAGUAAUCGCAGAUCAGCAACGCUGCGGUGAAUACGUUCCCGGGCCUUGUACACACCGCCCGUCAAGUCACGAAAGUUGGUAACACCCGAAGCCGGUGGCCUAACCCCUUGUGGGAGGGAGCUGUCGAAGGUGGGACUGGCGAUUGGGACUAAGUCGUAACAAGGUAGCCGUACCGGAAGGUGCGGCU
rnacentral:rRNA from 1 species